rfam:Gossypium raimondii Chr08_contig_1295, whole genome shotgun sequence.
UGUGGCACUAUGAGAUUGUGACACAUCAUCACUUGAAAAUUAAAAAUUUAUAUAAAUUUCCAAGUAAUGAUGUGAUACAAUCUUAUAGUGUCAC